AACGCGAAGAACCUUACCUGGGCUCGAACGGCUUUGGAUCGACGGUGGAAACACUGUUUUCCCGCAAGGGACCGGAGUCGAGGUGCUGCAUGGCUGUCGUCAGCUCGUGCCGUGAGGUGUUGGGUUAAGUCCCGCAACGAGCGCAACCCUUAUCAUUAGUUGCCAACACGCGAGGUGGGGACUCUAAUGAGACUGCCUGGGUUAACCAGGAGGAAGGUGAGGAUGAUGUCAAGUCCGCAUGGCCUUUAUGUCUGGGGCUACACACGUGCUACAAUGGUCGGUACAGAAGGCAGCAAGACCGCAAGGUGGAGCAAAUCCGUAAAGCCGAUCACAGUUCAGAUUGUAGUCUGCAACUCGACUACAUGAAGUUGGAAUUGCUAGUAAUGACGUGUCAGCAACAACGUCGUGAAUACGUUCCCGGGCCUUGUACACACCGCUCGCGA
rnacentral:rRNA from 1 species